CAUUUGCAAAACAGGUCAGUCAAGAUAUUCUCUGUACUUUAGGACCUCUGUUUUUAAGGCGUCUGUGAAGCGUCGCUUAGGCGACGCCUUAGCGUCAGGGCGCCCUCCGAUGGCAAGGCGUCGAACCUGCCUUAUACAUCGUCGUAAAGCGUCCGCUUUAGAUCCUAGGGCGUCUGAAUCGUCCGCCUAGGCGCGUAGGGCGGCGCCUUGGGCCAGAUCGGACGCCAUGGGCUGCUUCCAGGCGGGAAAGAGUGGCCCACGCGGGAAGCUUUCGCGGGAAAUAUUGGGCUCGCGCGCGAGUGCGAACAGGUAUAAGGCGAAGGGCGGGACAGAGAGGAUCGAACCAAUCGUCCAAUCCACCCGAUAGGGUUUCCUUCUCUCCUCUCUGACCUUUGGCGGCGACUCCUUCCUCUACAGCUCCGAUCUGUGCCCCUCCUCGCCGGGCUCAGCUCUCCCUCCAACUCUGGCGCAACAGCAAGGUAGAUCUGUAGAUGUGCUUGGCUGCUUGCCUGCUCCUCCUCUGCAUCUGUUUGCUCCCAAAUCUGCUUCUCCAUCCACAAGGCAGCAACCCCACCAUCGCUUCUCUCCUUCCCCAUGCUUGUCUGCUUGCUCUAGUGAUUUGGCUCUUCUCUCUUUGACGGUUGAUUGGGUCUUUUCUCAGUGUUGCUGCAGCAGCGAGGUGUCCCUGCUCUGAUGGAUCCUAGGAGAAAAGAGCUACAUCAGAUGAUCCAGUUUGGAAGUAUGGGUUCUGGCCAGAUUUAGAGAGGAAAGAUUUACUCCAGUGUACAUUGUGUGGCAAGAUAGUCCAUGCUGGAGUGAGAAGGCUGAAGCAGCACCUUUCUGGGGGUUGUAGUGAUGCAGAUAUGUGUCCCGAGGCAUCUAUGGAGAUUAGGAUAGAGAAGCGCAAAUCCUUAAACACUAGAAAGUUUAAAGCUAUGGAGCGAUAUAUUGAUGAGAAGGAUGAAGCUGAAGUUCAAAGGCGCCGUUCUGUCAUAUACAGAAGAUGAUUUGAGGCCUAUGAUUUGGCAACAACUAAUUAUGUUAAUGUUAAUUGUUAAAGUUCCUAAAUGGCUGCCAUCUGUUAUAUAUGUAUGUACAGUUUAUGAUGUCAAUGCUAGUAGUUAAAUCUCCUAAUUGGCUGCCAUCUAUUAUAUAUGUAUGUGUCUAAGGCGUCGCCUCGCCUUAUGCCUUAGCGCUUAGCCAGUGAGGCGCCCCCCCCCCCCCCCCCAGCGCCUCGCCUCGCCUUACCGCCUUAAAAACAUAGUUUAGGACAACAGGGCAGUGAACAAGAACCUUUUCAAGCUCCUCUUCAACAGCUUUUGCAAUGUCAUCUUUUUGCACAAAUGCAUCGUC